UACGUAGGGUGCGAGCGUUGCCCGGAUUUACUGGGCGUAAAGGGCGCGUAGGCGGCCACUGCAAGUCAGUUGUGAAAUCUCCGGGCUUAACCCGGAAAGGUCAACUGAUACUGCAGGGCUAGAGUGCAGAAGGGGCAACUGGAAUUCUCGGUGUAGCGGUGAAAUGCGUAGAUAUCGAGAGGAACACCUGCGGCGAAGGCGGGUUGCUGGGCUGACACUGACGCUGAUGUGCGAAAGCCAGGGGAGCGAACGGG
rnacentral:rRNA from 1 species